rnacentral:rRNA from 1 species
GAUGAACGCUGGCGGCGUGCCUAAUACAUGCAAGUCGAGCGAACGGACGAGAAGCUUGCUUCUCUGAUGUUAGCGGCGGACGGGUGAGUAACACGUGGAUAACCUACCUAUAAGACUGGGAUAACUUCGGGAAACCGGAGCUAAUACCGGAUAAUAUUUUGAACCGCAUGGUUCAAAAGUUAAAGACGGUCUUGCUGUCACUUAUAGAUGGAUCCGCGCUGCAUUAGCUAGUUGGUAAGGUAACGGCUUACCAAGGCAACGAUGCAUAGCCGACCUGAGAGGGUGAUCGGCCACACUGGAACUGAGACACGGUCCAGACUCCUACGGGAGGCAGCAGUAGGGAAUAUUCCGCAAUGGGCGAAAGCCUGACGGAGCAACGCCGCGUGAGUGAUGAAGGUCUUCGGAUCGUAAAACUCUGUUAUUAGGGAAGAACAUAUGUGUAAGUAACUGUGCACAUCUUGACGGUACCUAAUCAGAAAGCCACGGCUAACUACGUG